rnacentral:rRNA from 1 species
GACGAACCGAGCGAACGUUGUUCGGAAUCACUGGGCUUAAAGGGCGCGUAGGCGGGCCGCCAAGUCCGUGGUGAAAUCCCCCGGCUCAACCGGGGAAGUGCCUCGGAUACUGGCGGCCUCGAGGGGGGUAGGGGCGUGCGGAACUUCCGGUGGAGCGGUGAAAUGCGUAGAUAUCGGAAGGAACACCGGUGGCGAAAGCGGCGCGCUGGACCCCAUCUGACGCUGAGGCGCGAAAGCCAGGGGAGCGAACGGG